CUCCCCUCCAACACUGCUCUCAUCACCUAUAUACUCUUCUCUCUGCCCGUCUCUGCUUCCCCCCCCUUCCCCCCCCCCUUUUCUCCCGGCCGACGGAGCUGAAGGGGCGGGGGUUCCUUCCUUGGAGUGUUUCUAGAGCUCGGAGGCUGCUGGUAGGGGGGCACCACUUUCAGAUAAAAACAUAGACCUGAAUGGCAUCAUCCAGUAUCCAAGGAAACCAUGUUCUCUAAACAUGAAUAUGCCUUUGGGGGAAGACAGAAGAACAUGGAAGCCAUGUGAAAAAAACGGAUCCUAAGGCAGUUUUGAACAUCUGGAGGCCUGAUUUAUUGGAGAUUGCAAAUGUACAGUGUAACAUAGCUGUGGAGAGCGAGAAGAUCAGGAUUGUCAAUGCUGUCAUUGCUUUUACUGGAAUCCCCAGCACGAAUUGAAGGUUUGACCAGAGACAAAGAAGCAAAUGCUAUCAAUUAACAUUCACAUGUGGUAGAUCUCACAUGAGAUGGCAAAGAGGUCAAGACAAAAAUUCUGCAUUUGGGAAAAGAAUAACACAUGGACUUCCUCCUACAGGAUCCAGGUUGAAAAAGUAGCAC
rnacentral:lncRNA from 10 species